GACGAACGCUGGCGGCGUGCUUAACACAUGCAAGUCGAGCGGUAAGGCCCUUCGGGGUACACGAGCGGCGAACGGGUGAGUAACACGUGGGUGACCUGCCCUCAGCUCUGGGAUAAGCCUGGGAAACUGGGUCUAAUACCGGAUAUUCACUUCUCAUCGCAUGGUGGGUUGUGGAAAGUGUAGUGACAUUGUUACUGCUUCGGCUGGGGAUGGGCCCGCGGCCUAUCAGCUUGUUGGUGUGGUGAUGGCCUACCAAGGCUUCGACGGGUAGCUGGUCUGAGAGGAUGAUCAGCCACACUGGGACUGAGACACGGCCCAGACUCCUACGGGAGGCAGCAGUGGGGAAUAUUGCGCAAUGGGCGGAAGCCUGACGCAGCGACGCCGCGUGGGGGAUGACGGCCUUCGGGUUGUAAACCUCUUUCGCCAGGGACGAAGCUUUCGGGUGACGGUACCUGGAUAAGAAGCACCGGCCAACUACGUGCCAGCAGCCGCGGUAAUACGUAGGGUGCGAGCGUUGUCCGGAAUUAUUGGGCGUAAAGAGCUCGUAGGCGGUGUGUCGCGUCGGCCGUGAAAACCUGUGGCUUAACUAUGGGCUUGCGGUCGAUACGGGCAUCACUGGAGUUCGGCAGGGGAGACUGGAAUUCCUGGU
rnacentral:rRNA from 1 species